CUCACCUUUGCCCCCUGCAUUCAGUCUGUCUCUAAAGCCUGAUUUUUCAACAUCAAAAACAUUGCUCAUAUUCAAGAUUCAAGUAAGGAACUUUGUUUGUGCAACUAUCAUUUCCUUAACUAUAGCAACUCACUCCUCAGCGACCUCCCAAUUACUUGCAUUGCCCACUUCAAUCUGUAAUGAAUGCUGCCCCAGACUUAUCUUUCU